rnacentral:misc_RNA from 1 species
GAUGAAGCACGUAGCGAAAUGCGAUAAGUAAUGUGAAUUGCAGAAUUCAGUGAAUCAUCGAAUCUUUGAACGCACAUUGCGCCCCUUGGUAUUCCGAGGGGCAUGCCUGUUCGAGCGUCAUUAUAACCCCUCAAGCUCAGCUUGGUGUUGGGGCCUGCUGCACUGGCAGCCCUUAAAAUCAGUGGCGGCGCCAUCUGGCUCUAAGCGUAGUAAUUCUUCUCGCUAUGGAGUCCUGGUGGAUGCUUGCCAUCAACCCCCAAUUUUUCUAUGGUUGACCUCGGAUCAGGUAGGGAUACCCGCUGAACUUAAGCAUAUCAAUAAGCGGAGGA